AUACAGAGGUUGCGAGCGUUAAUCGGAAUUACUGGGCGUAAAGCGCGCGUAGGCGGUCUAUUAAGUCAGAUGUGAAAUCCCAGGGCUCAACCUUGGAACUGCAUCUGAUACUGGUAGACUAGAGUUUUGGAGAGGGAAGUAGAAUUUCAGGUGUAGCGGUGAAAUGCAUAGAGAUCUGAAGGAAUACCAGUGGCGAAGGCGACUUCCUGGCCAAAAACUGACGCUGAGGUGCGAAAGCGUGGGUAGCAAACGGGAUUAGAAACCCCAGUAGUCC
rnacentral:rRNA from 1 species